CGCUCGGGACGAAUGCUGCCGGUGUGCUCAGCAGAAGCAAGACGACCGGUAUGGCCGUUAGCGGUACUCUAGCGGCGAACGGGUGAGUAACACGUGAGUAUCCUGCCCGUGACUCUGCCAUAAACNUGGGAAACUCGGUCUAAUAUCCGGCUGGGUCUAACUCGUCAUCGGCUUGGGUGAGAAAGUUUAACUGAUCGGGAUGGAGUCGCGGCGUAUCAGCUUGUUGGUCCGGUAUCGGCCUAGCAAGGGAAUGACGCGUAGCGGGCGUGAGAGGGCGACCGGCCUCAGUGCCACUGAGAGACGGCCCAGACCCCUACGGGAGGCAGCAGUGGGGAAUAUUGCGCAAUGGGCGAAAGCCUGACGCUGCGUCGCGGGGUCGGGGAAGAUCGCCAACGCGUUCUUAAGCUCAUGCAGCAGUGGCGUACUUGACCUGUACGUGCAAGAAGCGCCGUGCCAGCAGUCGUGCGAGCAGCCGCGCUAAUUGGUUGCGCGGAACCGUACUCCGGAAUUAAUCGGCGUAAUGUGCUCGUACGUGGCAUGUCACGUGGGGAGUCAAUGCAUGCCGCUUAUGUCGAGGACACUAUUCCAUUGGCGCACGCAACACGUACGUAGGCGAGUACGCAAUUCCAGCUCUACCGGUCUUAUGCGCUCAUAUCUCGUGCAUCAGCGCAGGCCAAGUCAGUUCACUCGGGCUUAGCUCUCGCUGUGGAGCGUAAGCGACCGGAGCCAACACUAUUAGUUACCCUCCUACUCCACGCUCUUUACGUAGGGCCCUACGUGUCGGGAGGUAGCACAAUAACGGCGCUGUUCCUUACCCAUGAUGGGUCCCGUCUGGCCAGUGGCUGUCGUCGGCGAAAACUCAUUGGAAUUGACGGGGGCCCGCACAAGCGGCUUACCAUGUUGCUUUAUUCGACGCAACGCGAAGAACCUUACCAAGGCUUGAUAUGGCCCGGAAAGCUCCAGAGAUGGAGCCGUCUACGUACUGGGUGACAGGAGGUGCAUGCCUGUCGUCAGGUCGAGUCCUGAGAUAAUGGGUUAAGUCGCGGAACGAAAAGCCGGUUUGUUCUAUGAUGCCAGCUCGCACCUUCGCGCCUGGUCGGGACUCAAUGCUGACUGCCGUGCUCAUCUCCUAGUAACCUGCCGUUGACGUCUUGUGAUCAUGGGCCAUAUGUCUUGGCCUACAGACAUGCCACGAUGGCCGUUACUGAGCGUUCCGGAAGGGUGUGGUGGUGCGGAUGGGUAAUAGCGGCACUCAGAUCGGAUUGCCGUCAGCAGCUCGACGCCAUGUUGUCGGAUUCGCUAGCAAUCGCACAUCAGCUAGGCUACGGUGAAGACGGUCCCCCUCCGUGUAUACUCCGCCGGUUGCGUCACGAUUGUCGCCAACACCCGAGUCUGGGGGGCCUUCCAGCUUGUCUGGGGGGAGCGGUCGAAGGUGGGGCUGGCGAUUGGA
rnacentral:rRNA from 1 species